GUUCCAUUGAUCUAUAUUUCUGUCUUUGUGCCAGUACCAUACUGUCUUGAUGACUAUAGCUUUGUAGUGUAGCCUGAAGUUAGGAAGACUUAUUCUUUCAGCUCCAUUUUUCUUUCUCAAGAUUGCUUUGACUUUUCAGGGUGUUUUGUGUUUCCAUAAACAAUUGUAAAAUUUUUUGUUCUAAUUCUGUGAAAAAUGCCAUUGGUAAUUUGAUA